rnacentral:rRNA from 1 species
AUGCAGAUGUGGUCCGUCAGGAGGGCGGAGAAGGUGCUCGGCUCCAAGUGCAUCGUCGACCGCCUCGACAGCCGCACGCACGAGCGUGGACACACGCGCACGUUCGCCUGCUGGGUGUGGGUGUGGGACGUCGCCUUCAUCCCCACCAAGCACUCCAUCUGGCGGGCGGCGCGCGGCGCCGGCCGCGUCGAGGCCAUGCUGGGCUAGUCCCCCCCGAGCCGCGAGGUCGCUCCACCUCCCCGCGUCAAGCUGCACGAGAUGCUCAUCCACGUCGACCGCGUCGAGGACUGGUCGCCGCCCUCGCCGCGCUCCUCCCACUCCGCCCACAGCGGCCUGCCUUCCUCCGGCUCAGACGACGAGCACCCUUUCCCGAUGGUCUGGCCUGGGACACGGGCCAUGCACGUCGAGGAUGGGCAGGGGCAGAGCAGACGCCAUCCAGCGGUGGUCUCCACUGCCGGCUGCGGUGGCCUGUGA